rnacentral:rRNA from 3 species
CGGAUCAGGUAGGGAUACCCGCUGAACUUAA